GACGAACGCUGGCGGCGUGCCUAACACAUGCAAGUCAGGGAGAAUGGGGUAGCAAUAUCCCUAGUAAACCGGCGCAAGGGUGAGUAACACGUAAGCAAUCAGCCUUUUGGUACGGGAAUAACUUCGAGAAAUCGAGGCUAAUACCCGAUAAUGCAGCGGCAUCGCAUGAUGACAGUUGUUAAAGGCCGUAAGGUGCCAAAAGAUGAGCUUGCGUCCCAUUAGCUUGNGGGUCGGGGUAAC
rnacentral:rRNA from 1 species